rnacentral:lncRNA from 10 species
AAGUCAACGACGGGAGAGCAGAAACGGCAGAGAGGGCCUGCCCUUUCUGUCUAUGCAGAGAUGGAAGGAGGCAGAACUGAAGAAAAUUAUUGCACAAAUUAUUUCAAGCUACAUUGCCAAAAUGCAAAAUACUGAGUAACUCUUUGGGUUAGCCUUCCCCGGAGAGAAAAACAAACAAAUGUUUUAACGAUUCCAGUAGAAUCCAAUAGGACUAAGGGCCUGGCUGGAAAAAGAAAAGGAAAGUUUGGGGGCAGCGUCUAAGGGGGUGAUGGAAGUUCCAGAGCUGGGAUCCCGGAAAGAUAAGAGAGGGGCAAGAGCGGCGUUUGCGGUCGCUGACAGGAGGCAGGGAACACAGCUGCCAGCCCCGAUCCCGGAGGGAGAGUGAAAAGGAAAAAAAAAAAAAAAAAAGGAAGUGGCGGAGAGGAGCAUGGAAGCUUCAGUGCCGUUUUCAGGAACACCCAGAAAACCUCCUGCCGCCUUCCCCGGGACUGGGACGCGACCCCUCCAGCGUAGCCCUCGCCACCCCCAAGACCAACCGACUCGAAACAUCCCUAAAUCACCCGGGA